CCUACGGGAGGCUGCAGUAACGAAUAUUGGACAAUGGGCGAAAGCCUGAUCCAGCGACGCCGCGUGUAGGAAGAAGUCCCUCGGGAUGUAAACUACUGUCAGGGACCACCAAGCAAUCGAGGAUAAUACCCUUGUGCGUUGAGGAAUCCCAGAGGAAGUCACGGCUAACUUCGUGCCAGCAGCCGCGGUAAGACGAAGGUGGCGAGCGUUGUUCGGAAUCACUGGGCUUAAAGAGCACGUAGGCGGACUGUCAAGCGUUUUGUGAAAGCCCUCGGCUCAACCGAGGAAUCGCUUGGCGAACUGGCAGUCUUGAGGCAGGUAGGGGCAACUGGAACUCAUGGUGGAGCGGUGGAAUGCGUAGAUAUCAUGAGGAACGCCAGAGGCGAAGGCGAGUUGCUGGGCCUGUCCUGACGCUGAGGUGCGAAAGCUAGGGUAGCGAACGGGAUUAGAUACCCCGGUAGUCCUAGCCCUAAACGAUGUCCACUAGGUCGGAGGCACUCUGACGUGUUUCUGGCCGAAAUGAAAACGGCAAGUGGACCGCCUGGGGAGUACGGUCGCAAGGCUAAAACUCAAAGGAAUUGACGGGGGCUCACACAAGCGGUGGAG
rnacentral:rRNA from 1 species